CAUUAUUGAGAUGUAACGGCGCCCUGUUAGUUGUUGCAAUGUAGAGUCAGUGCUGGCUUCUGAAGUAUGUGCACGCUUUACUUGUAGCUCUAACUUGGUGAUAACCGUUUCUUAUCCAUCCACCUGUGCACUUUUUGUAGGAGUUUUUAUUAGGUUGGCUUUCAAGUCGAAAGACUUUGUUAGUUGGCAUAAUAGGACUUCUAUGUCUUUACAAACCAUUGAAGUAUGUCUAGAAUGUCAUUUUACUGGGACUUCAUUGACCCUUUAAACUUUAUACAACUUUCAGCAACGGAUCUCUUGGCUCUCCCAUCGAUGAAGAACGCAGCGAAAUGCGAUAAGUAAUGUGAAUUGCAGAAUUCAGUGAAUCAUCGAAUCUUUGAACGCACCUUGCGCCCUCUGGUAUUCCGGAGGGCAUGCCUGUUUGAGUGUCAUUAAAUUCUCAACUUCAAAAGUUUUUAUUAACUUAUUGAAGCUUGGAUGUGGGGGUUUGUUGGCGUCUUUAGAUGUUCAGCUCCCCUUAAAUGCAUUAGUGGAAUUCCCGUUUGGUUGGUCCAUCUUGGUGUGAUAAUUAUCUACGCUUUGCUUGGUUCAACUGUCAGGUGUGCUUAGGCUAGAUCCUGGUUGUGAUAUCGCAUUAAGUUGCUUUAUCUGAUUGUGGGAAAUUUAUCUGCUUUCUAACCGUCUGUUGUUUCAGACAAUUUAUUGACUAUUUGACCUCAAAUCAGGUAGGACUACCCGCUGAACUUAAGCA
rnacentral:sRNA from 1 species